CCUACGGGUGGCAGCAGUGAGGAAUAUUGGUCAAUGGCCGGAAGGCUGAACCAGCCAUGCCGCGUGAAGGUCAGUGCCCUAUGGGCGUUAAACUUCUUUUGUGCGGGAGCAAUAAUGGGCAAGUGUGGCCAGACGAGAGUACCGUACGAAUAAGCAUCGGCUAACUCCGUGCCAGCAGCCGCGGUAAUACGGGGGAUGCAAGCGUUAUCCGGAUUUAUUGGGGUUAAAGGGUGCGUAGGCUGUGAGGUAAGUCAGCGGUGAAAUGCCCCCGCUCAACGGGGUGAAGUGCCAUUGAUACUGCCUUGCUGGAAUGCGGAUGCCGUGGGAGGAAUGUGUGGUGUAGCGGUGAAAUGCAUAGAUAUCACACAGAACACCGAUUGCGAAGGCAUCUCACGAAUCCGCGAUUGACGCUGAUGCACGAAAGCGUGGGUAUCAAACAGGAUUAGAUACCCCAGUAGUC
rnacentral:rRNA from 1 species